UGGGGAAUUUUGGACAAUGGGGGCAACCCUGAUCCAGCCAUCCCGCGUGUGCGAUGAAGGCCUUUGGGUUGUAAAGCACUUUUGGCAGGGAAGAAACAGCCUGGGCUAAUAUCCCGGGCGACUGACGGUACCUGCAGACUAAGCACCGGCUAACUACGUGCCAGCAGCCGCGGUAAUGCGUAGGGUGCAAGCGUUAAUCGGAAUUACUGGGCGUAAAGCGUGCGCAGGCGGUUCGGAAAGAAAGGUGUGAAAUCCCAGGGCUUAAUGUUGGAACUGCACUUUUAACUACCGGGCUAGAGUACGUCAGAGGGGGGUAGAAUUCCACGUGUAGCAGUGAAAUACGUAGAGAUGUGGAGGAAUACCGAUGGCGAAGGCAGCCCCCCGGGAUGAUACUGACGCUCACGCACGAAAGC
rnacentral:rRNA from 1 species